rnacentral:lncRNA from 1 species
AUUUUUGCAUUUUUCGGCCAAACAACUAGAAUUCCGCGCGAUUCCCAUAUUUUUGUGUGUUAUAGCCCACACCUUCCGAGAGGUCCCGGGACCUCAGGACCCCUAUCGCCUAAAAUUUUUCCGGACUAUCAAAUACGACCUAAGAUACCAUAGUCACCGCCCCACCAUGAUCGUUCCAAAUGCUUUGCAUUUUUCGGCCAAAAAACUAGAACUCCGCGCGAUUUGCAUAUUUUAGUGUGCUAUAGCUUACGCCUUCCGAGUGGUCCCGGGAGCCGUGGACCCCGAUCGCCUAAAAUUUGCCGGGCCAUCAAAUACGACCUAAGGAACCAUAGUCACUGCCUCGCCAUGAUCGUUCCUCAUUAAUUGCGUUUUUCGGCCAAAAAACUAGAAUUCCGCUCAAUUACAAUAUUUUUGUGUGCUAUUGCCCACGUCUUCCCAGUGGGCCAGGCCGCCGGACUCGGAUCGCCUAAAACUUUUUCGGGCCAUCAAUGUGGACCUAAGGAACCAUAGUCACCGCCUCGCCAUGAUCGUU